UACGAAGGGGGCUAGCGUUGCUCGGAAUCACUGGGCGUAAAGGGUGCGUAGGCGGGUUUUUAAGUCAGGGGUGAAAUCCUGGAGCUCAACUCCAGAACUGCCUUUGAUACUGAAGAUCUUGAGUCCGGGAGAGGUGAGUGGAACUGCGAGUGUAGGAGGUGAAAUUCGUAGAUAUUCGCAAGAACACCAGUGGCGAAGGCGGCUCACUGGCCCGGUACUGACGCUGAGGCACGGAAAGCGUGGGGAGCAAACAGG
rnacentral:rRNA from 1 species